rnacentral:rRNA from 1 species
UACGGGGGGAGCAAGCGUUGUUCGGAUUUACUGGGCGUAAAGGGCGCGUAGGCGGCGCAACAAGUCACUUGUGAAAUCUCCGGGCUUAACCCGGAGCGGCCAAGUGAUACUGUCGUGCUAGAGUGCGGAAGGGGCUACUGGAAUUCUCGGUGUAGCGGUGAAAUGCGUAGAUAUCGAGAGGAACACCUGCGGCGAAGGCGGGUAGCUGGGCCGACACUGACGCUGAGGCGCGAAAGCCAGGGGAGCGAACAGG